GACUCACUUGGCCGGCUGGUUAAUGAUGACCACAAGUACCCAAACUGCAAGAUGAAACAGCUGGCAGUCCAGUAUAAACCUCAUCUCUGCUUGUUUGCUAUUGACAAUAUCCAAGCAGAGAGUGAAAUCACCUAUGACUAUGGAGAAUCUAUGUGGCCACGGCGAGCUCUGACGCCAAGUGUUGAGACCAUGUCCCAACCUCCUACAGACCAAGAAACACCAAGUGUUGAGACCAUGUCCCAAACUCCUACAGACCAAGAAGUGAGUGAAAAAUCGGAAGAAAAGUUAUGAGCCACCAAAGCUGUUUUUGGAAACCGGCCUUCAAGUGACACCACGCCCGGUGACCUUUGGGACAUGGUUUGACCCCCUUAGGAAUGUGCUAUCAUCAUGAAACGUUCAGAUCACUUACAACUCCAUAGAUUAUACUUUCACGUGAUGUUUCAGCCUGAUUGGACCUUGUUUUCACACAAAUGGACCCAGAAAUAUGUGAAAUUGGGCUUUGUGCGACAUAAUUCUGGGUGCCAUUUAAAAACCAGAUCUGAGCUCUCUAGGACAUUCAGAAGAAAAGUUAUAAGCCCGCAAAUGUGUGUUAGGAACCACGCCUUUAAAGAACAAGUGAUCCGAUGACCUUUGUGACAUCAUUUGACCCCAUUAGGAAUGAGCUAUCAUCAUGAACCGUUGGAAUCACUUCUAACUCAAUAGAUUCUACCUUCCUGUGAUGUUUCAGCCUGAUUGAAGCUUUUUUCAGAGAACUGGACCCAGAAAUAUGUGAAAUUGUGGUUUGUGCGACAUAAUUCUGGGUGCCAUUUAAAACCCAUAAGUGGUAAUGACUCCAUUCCUUCUGUUCCAGAUAUAGACCAUUAAUUGGAGUAUUUUAAAAUCAACCUGACCUCUCUAGGAUAUUCUGAAGCCAAGUUAUAAGCCCACAAAGGUGUAACCGGACACUACCUGACUAUAUCUACUUGGACAUGCGUCCCGAAAGGGCCCUCGAAAAGGUCCGACGGCCGCAAUUUCGACGUGUGUCGAUGAGAUGGUAGCCGGGAUGCACCACAAAAAAUUUCGUGCGGCUACGCCUGACUGAAUUCAAGCGGCGGCCCGAAAGUGUUAAAAUUUAGCUCAGGCUUUGUUUGCGGCCUUCUGCCACUUGAGACCCUUUUCGUCCGCCAUUCAGCCCACGUUGGUCCGAGGCACCCGAAAAUUCUUCUGGUGCAUCCCACCACUAGCCCGAACCACAGAUUUUGAAUUUGUGCCGGUCGCAUCGUGUAAAGCGUCCGUUUGGGGCCGGACGGCAGUGUUCCCUCCUUUUUUGUCAUGUGCUCGGCAAAGUGGCAUUUCUCAACCGAUUUUAACAAAACAAACAUUGAUUUGGCAUGCCGCCGUCACCCCGAGCUAGCCCAGGCAGUUUGGUAGCCGUAGCUCGUUGUUCCGGUGCUUUUCUGAACCCUAGGUCGCCAGAGGUCACGCUCUUUUUUGGCUACAGCUCCUCAAGCAAACGCCCAAUCCGUCCCGUUUUUGGAGAGGUGGUCCCCGUGGUGCCAAGCAAUCAUAAUCCGCUGUCAAAAUUGAAAAGAAAAAAAAAGUCGCUUCAGAGUUAGGCCAAAAAAUGUCCUCUGAGACGUAACGCCUCAAAGAGGACUUGUGUUUUGCUGUUACAAAGUGGAAAAAAAAAGUUCUGCUGGUGCCAGCGGCGCCAUCUUCGGAUAUGUGGUUCGGGGGCCAAGCACUAGUCCACCCGAGGUGAUUUGGUGGCAAAAUAUUUUGUGGUUCCGGAGAUAUAGCCCCCCAAAGCGCGCAAUUUUUGCAAGUUUGCAAAGGCGCAAUUCUAGCGCCGUGAGGGCUAUCAAAAAGGCGAGUAGAUUUUUGCUCUCGUACCGGACUUACAAACCAGAGAGUGAAAUUUUUUUUGACUGCGCCCACUAGUGGCCGAACUCAGUCAGUGAGCGACGUAGCGUGACGCAUUUUAGAAAUUAUGAUUUGGCAUGUCCUUCUUUACAACAUAUGUGAAUUUCAUGUCCCUACGUAGAAAUAAACUAUUUUUAAUUAAUUAAAAGCAACGGACAAAACCCUAGGCCCCAAAUGAAGCCUGGCCAAGAUUUGAGCCCCUUUUUGGCUGCCGUUCGGCCAUCGUUGAUCCGAGGCUCACGAAAAUUUUUUUGUUUUACCCCAGUGCUGGUCCGAACCAUAGAUUUCAAAUUUGUGUCGGUCGCAUCGUGUUAAGCGUCCGUUUGGGGCCGGAUGGCACUUUUCCCGCCUUUUUUGCCAUGUGCUCGGCAAAGUGGCAUUUCUCAACCGAUUUUCACCAAACAAACGUCGAUUUGGCACGCCGCCAUCACCCCGAGCUAGCCCAGGCAGUUUGGUAGCCGUAGCUCAUUGUUCUGGUGCUGUUCUGGGUCAGAGGUCAGAAAAAAUGAUGGAUUUCAGCUGAAAAACAGGGUUCUCUUCAACCUACAGACUUGCAACUGAUAUGCUCCUUGACCUCACAUGUCCAACAUAUGUUAAUUUCAGACAGAUUGGAGCUUGUAUCACAGAUAUGCAACCAGAAAUAUGUGAAAUUGUGCUUGGUGCAACAUAAUUCUGUGUCCCAUUUUAAAACCAUAAGAGCUAAUAGGGGCUGUUAAUUGGAGUAAUUUAAAACCAAGCUGACCUCUCUAGGACAUUCAGAAGCCAAGUUAUAAGCCCCCAAAGCUGUUUUUGUAAGCAGGCCUUUAAGGCAGAAGUGAUCCGGUGACAUUUAUGACAUCAUUUGACCCCAUUAGGACUGAGCUAUCAUCAUGAAACGUUGGAAUCACUUAUAACUCAAUAGAUUCUGCUUUCCUGUGAUUUUUCAGCCUGAUUGAAGAUUUUUUCAGUGAACUGGACCCAGAAUAAUGUGAAAUUGUGCUUGGGGCUAUCAUCAUGAAACGUUCAGAUCACUUACAACUCAAUAGAUCUUCAUUCUUCCAACAGGUCACACAUUAUUUUUUGUAUUUGGAAUCAAGUAUAUGAGUCAGUUGGGCCUAGUGCAUGAAUGAAAUGCACUUUGAUUGUAUUAAAACAAUCAGUUUGAGUGAAAGUUUCCCCAAAUCAACAAAAGCAUUAAGAGAAAGAAAUUGUCUAUACCAUUUGUUAGUCCAAACUUCCCCUUUAAGCAUUUGCUUGAUCUUUAUUCUGUCUAAAUUUAAUAUUUUUGCCCUUUUACACAUGUUUUUGUCCAUUUAACCUGAAGCUGAUCAGUUUACAUGAUUGGAUUUCUGGGGAAAUAGAUGGCUUUACAUGAGUGUUGGGUUUAGAGCUUUUAUUGACAACAGCAGAUGUUAGAAGUCAGGAACAUGAACUUUACAUGUGUUCAGUCGUCAUGUCCUCAUAUUGUUUCAAGCUGUGAAGGAGAUGUGUGUGUUUCAGAAUACGUCCUCAUAUGGUUGGACCAACAACUGUAGUGUGUGUGUUACACUGUCCUCAUAUUGUUGGGUAGCAGAACUGUACAGUGUUAAUAGUUUCUAUACAGUCUGAUAUAAGGAACUCAGAUUCUUCUGUGAAUUAUAUUCACUGAAAUAAGAAUGAUCUGUAGCUAAUGAACUAGUCAGGAUUUACAUUGUUGUCUUUUGUUUCAGACACCAAGUGUUGAGACCAUGUCCCAACCUCCUACAGACCAAGAAGUGAGUGAAAAAUUCACUUCAUUCUUCCAACAGGUCACACAUUAAUUUUUGUAUUUGAAAUAAAGUAUAUGAGUCAGUUGGGCCUAGUGCAUAAAUGAAAUGCACUUUGAUUGUGUUAAAACAAUCAGUUUGAGUGAAAGUUUCCCCAAAUCAACAUUAGCAUUAGGAGAAAGAAAUUGUCUAUACCAUUUGUUAGUCCAAACUUUCCCUUUAAGCAUUUGCUUGAUCUUUAUUCUAACUAAAUUUAAUAUUUUUGUCCUUUUACACAUGUUUUUGUCCAUUUAACCUGAAGCUGAUCAGUUAAUAUGAUUGGAUUUCUGGGGAAAUAGAUGGCUUUACAUCAGUGUUGGGUUUAGAGCUUUUAUUGACAACAGCAGGAGAAGCUAGAAGUCAGGAACAUGAACACUACAUGUGUUCAGUCGUCAUGUCCUCAUAUUGUUUCAAGCUGUGAAGGAGAUGUGUGUGUUUCAGAAUACGUCCUCAUAUGGUUGGACCAACAACUGUAGUGUGUGUGUUACACUGUCCUCAUAUUGUUGGGUAGCAGAACUGUACAGUGUUAAUAGUUUCUAUACAGUCUGAUAUAAGGAACUCAGAUUCUUCUGUGAAUAAUAUUCACUGAAACAAGUAUGAUCUGUAGUUAAUGAACUAGUCAGGAUUCAUAGUACAGAAUGUUUCUGACAUUAUAUUGUUGUCUUUUGUUGCAGACACCAAGUGUUGAGACCAUGUCCCAAACUCCUACAGACCAAGAAGUGAGUGAAAAAUCGGAAGAAAAGUUAUGAGCCACCAAAGCUGUUUUUGGAAACCGGCCUUCAAGUGACACCACGCCCGGUGACCUUUGGGACAUGGUUUGACCCCCUUAGGAAUGUGCUAUCAUCAUGAAACGUUCAGAUCACUUACAACUCCAUAGAUUAUACUUUCACGUGAUGUUUCAGCCUGAUUGGACCUUGUUUUCACACAAAUGGACCCAGAAAUAUGUGAAAUUGGGCUUUGUGCGACAUAAUUCUGGGUGCCAUUUAAAAACCAGAUCUGAGCUCUCUAGGACAUUCAGAAGAAAAGUUAUAAGCCCGCAAAUGUGUGUUAGGAACCACGCCUUUAAAGAACAAGUGAUCCGAUGACCUUUGUGACAUCAUUUGACCCCAUUAGGAAUGAGCUAUCAUCAUGAACCGUUGGAAUCACUUCUAACUCAAUAGAUUCUACCUUCCUGUGAUGUUUCAGCCUGAUUGAAGCUUUUUUCAGAGAACUGGACCCAGAAAUAUGUGAAAUUGUGGUUUGUGCGACAUAAUUCUGGGUGCCAUUUAAAACCCAUAAGUGGUAAUGACUCCAUUCCUUCUGUUCCAGAUAUAGACCAUUAAUUGGAGUAUUUUAAAAUCAACCUGACCUCUCUAGGAUAUUCUGAAGCCAAGUUAUAAUCCCACAAAGGUGUAACCGGACACUACCUGACGAUUUCUACUUGGAAAUGCGUCCCGAAAGGGCCCUCGAAAAGGUCCGACGGCCGCAAUUUCGACGUGUGUCGAUGAGAUGGUAGCCGGGAUGCACCACAAAAAAUUUCGUGCGGCUACGCCUGACUGAAUUCAAACGGCGGCCCGAAAGUGUUAAAAUUUAGCUCAGGCUUUGUUUGCGGCCUUCUGCCACUUGAGACCCUUUUCGUCCGCCAUUCAGCCCACGUUGGUCCGAGGCACCCGAAAAUUCUUCUGGUGCAUCCCACCACUAGCCCGAACCACAGAUUUUGAAUUUGUGCCGGUCGCAUCGUGUAAAGCGUCCGUUUGGGGCCGGACGGCAGUGUUCCCUCCUUUUUUGUCAUGUGCUCGGCAAAGUGGCAUUUCUCAACCGAUUUUAACAAAACAAACAUUGAUUUGGCAUGCCGCCGUCACCCCGAGCUAGCCCAGGCAGUUUGGUAGCCGUAGCUCGUUGUUCCGGUGCUUUUCUGAACCCUAGGUCGCCAGAGGUCACGCUCUUUUUUGGCCACAGCUCCUCAAGCAAACGCCCAAUCCGUCCCGUUUUUGGAGAGGUGGUCCCCGUGGUGCCAAGCAAUCAUAAUCCGCUGUCAAAAUUGAAAAGAAAAAAAAAGUCGCUUCAGAGUUAGGCCAAAAAAUGUCCUCUGAGACGUAACGCCUCAAAGAGGACUUGUGUUUUGCUGUUACAAAGUGGAAAAAAAAAGUUCUGCUGGUGCCAGCGGCGCCAUCUUCGGACAUGUGGUUCGGGGGCCAAGCACUAGUCCACCCGAGGUGAUUUGGUGGCAAAAUAUUUUGUGGUUCCGGAGAUAUAGCCCCCCAAAGCGCGCAAUUUUUGCAAGUUUGCAAUGGUGCAAUUCUAGCGCCGUGAGGGCUAUCAAAAAGGCGAGUAGAUUUUUGCUCUCGUACCGGACUUCCGAACCAGAGAGUGACAUUUUUUUUGACUGCGCCCACUAGUGGCCGAACUCGGUCAGUGAGCGACGUAGCGUGACGCAUUUUAGAAAUUAUGAUUUGGCAUGUCCUUCUUUACAACAUAUGUGAAUUUCAUGUCCCUACGUAGAAAUAAACUAUUUUUAAUUAAUUAAAAGCAACGGACAAAACCCUAGGCCCCAAAUGAAGCCUGGCCAAGAUUUGAGCCCCUUUUUGGCUGCCGUUCGGCCAUCGUUGAUCCGAGGUUCACGAAAAUUUUUUUGUUUUACCCCAGUGCUGGUCCGAACCAUAGAUUUCAAAUUUGUGUCGGUCGCAUCGUGUUAAGCGUCCGUUUGGGGCCGGAUGGCACUUUUCCCGCCUUUUUUGCCAUGUGCUCGGCAAAGUGGCAUUUCUCAACCAAUUUUCACCAAACAAACGUCGAUUUGGCACGCCGCCAUCACCCCGAGCUAGCCCAGGCAGUUUGGUAGCCGUAGCUCAUUGUUCUGGUGCUGUUCUGGGUCAGAGGUCAGAAAAAAUGAUGGAUUUCAGCUGAAAAACAGGGUUCUCUUCAACCUACAGACUUGCAACUGAUAUGCUCCUUGACCUCACAUGUCCAACAUAUGUUAAUUUCAGACAGAUUGGAGCUUGUAUCACAGAUAUGCAACCAAAAAUAUGUGAAAUUGUGCUUGGUGCAACAUAAUUCUGUGUCCCAUUUUAAAACCAUAAGAGCUAAUAGGGGCUGUUAAUUGGAGUAAUUUAAAACCAAGCUGACCUCUCUAGGACAUUCAGAAGCCAAGUUAUAAGCCCCCAAAGCUGUUUUUGUAAGCAGGCCUUUAAGGCAGAAGUGAUCCGGUGACAUUUAUGACAUCAUUUGACCCCAUUAGGACUGAGCUAUCAUCAUGAAACGUUGGAAUCACUUAUAACUCAAUAGAUUCUGCUUUCCUGUGAUUUUUCAGCCUGAUUGAAGAUUUUUUCAGUGAACUGGACCCAGAAUAAUGUGAAAUUGUGCUUGGGGCUAUCAUCAUGAAACGUUCAGAUCACUUACAACUCAAUAGAUCUUCAUUCUUCCAACAGGUCACACAUUAUUUUUUGUAUUUGGAAUCAAGUAUAUGAGUCAGUUGGGCCUAGUGCAUGAAUGAAAUGCACUUUGAUUGUAUUAAAACAAUCAGUUUGAGUGAAAGUUUCCCCAAAUCAACAAAAGCAUUAAGAGAAAGAAAUUGUCUAUACCAUUUGUUAGUCCAAACUUCCCCUUUAAGUUUUUGCUUGAUCUUUAUUCUGUCUAAAUUUAAUAUUUUUGCCCUUUUACACAUGUUUUUGUCCAUUUAACCUGAAGCUGAUCAGUUUACAUGAUUGGAUUUCUGGGGAAAUAGAUGGCUUUACAUGAGUGUUGAGUUUAGAGCUUUAAUUGACAACAGCAGAUGUUAGAAGUCUGGAACAUGAACUUUACAUGUGUUCAGUCGUCAUGUCCUCAUAUUGUUUCAAGCUGUGAAGGAGAUGUGUGUGUUUCAGAAUACGUCCUCAUAUGGUUGGACCAACAACUGUAGUGUGUGUGUUACACUGUCCUCAUAUUGUUGGGUAGCAGAACUGUACAGUGUUAAUAGUUUCUAUACAGUCUGAUAUAAGGAACUCAGAUUCUUCUGUGAAUUAUAUUCACUGAAAUAAGAAUGAUCUGUAGCUAAUGAACUAGUCAGGAUUUACAUUGUUGUCUUUUGUUUCAGACACCAAGUGUUGAGACCAUGUCCCAACCUCCUACAGACCAAGAAGUGAGUGAAAAAUUCACUUCAUUCUUCCAACAGGUCACACAUUAAUUUUUGUAUUUGAAAUAAAGUAUAUGAGUCAGUUGGGCCUAGUGCAUAAAUGAAAUGCACUUUGAUUGUGUUAAAACAAUCAGUUUGAGUGAAAGUUUCCCCAAAUCAACAUUAGCAUUAGGAGAAAGAAAUUGUCUAUACCAUUUGUUAGUCCAAACUUUCCCUUUAAGCAUUUGCUUGAUCUUUAUUCUAACUAAAUUUAAUAUUUUUGUCCUUUUACACAUGUUUUUGUCCAUUUAACCUGAAGCUGAUCAGUUAAUAUGAUUGGAUUUCUGGGGAAAUAGAUGGCUUUAUGUCAGUGUUGGGUUUAGAGCUUUUAUUGACAACAGCAGGAGAAGCUAGAAGUCAGGAACAUGAACUCUACAUGUGUUCAGUUGUCAUGUCCUCAUAAUUAUUCAAGCUGUAAAGGAGAUGUGUGUGUUUCAGAAUACAUCCUCAUAUGGUUGGACCAACAACUGUAGUGUGUGUGUGUUACACUGUCCUCAUAUUGUUGGGUAGCAGAACUGUACAGUGUUAUUAGUUUCUAUACAGUCUGAUAUAAGGAACUCAGAUUCUUCUGUGAAUAAUGUUCACUGAAACAAGUAUGAUCUGUAGCUAAUGAACUAGUCAGGAUUUACAUUGUUGUCUUUUGUUUCAGACACCAAGUGUUGAGACCAUGUCCCAACCUCCUACAGACCAAGAAGUGAGUGAAAAAUCCAUUUCAUUCUUCCAACAGGUCACACAUUAUUUUUUGUAUUUGAAAUCAAGUAUAUGAGUCAGUUGGGCCUAGUGCAUAAAUGAAAUGCACUUUGAUUGUUUUAAAACAAUCAGUUUGAUUGAAAGUUUCCCCAAAUCAACAUUUGCAUUAGGAGAAAGAAAUUAUCUAUACCAUUUGUUAGUCCAAACUUUCCCUUUAAGCGUUUGCUUGAUCUUUAUUCUGACUAAAUUUAAUAUUUUUGUCUUUUUACACAUGUUUUUGUCCAUUUAACCUGAAGCUGAUCAGUUAACAUGAUUGGAUUUCUGGGGAAAUA